rnacentral:rRNA from 1 species
UACAGAGGUCUCAAGCGUUGUUCGGAUUCAUUGGGCGUAAAGGGUGCGUAGGCGGCCCUGUAAGUCAGUGCUGAAAUAUCCCGGCUUAACCGGGAGGGUGGCAUUGAUACUGCGGGGCUAGAGUACAGAUGAGGUAGGCGGAAUUGACGGUGUAGCGGUGAAAUGCUUAGAUAUCGUCAAGAACACCUAUAGCGAAGGCAGCUUACUAGGCUGUAACUGACGCUGAGGCACGAAAGUGUGGGGAUCAAACAGG